AAAUUUGUAUUAAUCACCGAUCGUCGAUCGACUCUCGUUCGACCGACCUAAAUACCGUCAAUAAUUUCCCAAUACGUUCGUAAGCGGCUGGAAAUGAAGCUGUGCGUGCUGGAAAUUACGCGGAAACAUAGAGUCAAAAGGACACAGAUGGUCCGAAACGAAAUGGGGAAAAGACGAGAAACAAAAGAUGCAAACCAUCGUUUAACACAUCUGGAACCUCUUUUCCCUGCGUGCCGCGUGAAUUUCGGGAAGCGUCUUUGCCCCGGGGUAUAUAUAUUGAACACGCCGAGGGUAAAACGGAUAGCAAAACGCGUUUUACGCGACGAGGAGGAAGAGGUGGAAGAGGAAGAGAAGGAGGUGGAGGAGAAAAGGAAAUAAGAAUUCCCUGUCGGCACCGGGAGAGGCUGCCCUCCCGCCGGAUAUUUCUUUCUCUGCUGGCAGUCUGACAAGCGGAGAAUUUUCAUUCCGCGUGUGCGCGCGUACCUAAGUAUUUACAGGUUUCAAAAUACGUUUCUGAUGAGUGAUAUUUUCGAACAUCGAGCGAAUAAUUUUAGGAAGUUAUAUUGAAGAAAGCGUAUCGAUUAUAAAAGAAAAAUAAAGUAGAAAUUGUGUUUUCAAAAGUUUCGUCUGGCACGUUAUAUACGGGAAAAAGAUGUCCAAGAUAAGAUGC